UGUGAGACUCAUCAUUCUCUCUUCACACGGGGCUGAGGUCUCUGGGGAAGGCAGAGCUGUGCUCUAGAGAAGAUGCGACUGCUGGGUCUCCUCCUGUGCCUGGUGACAGCCCCCCAGGGUGUCCUGUGCCAGUUGCAGCUGCAGGAGUCGGGCCCAGGGCUGGUGAAACCCUCAGAGACCCUUUCCCUCACCUGCACCGUUUCUGGUGGUUCAGUCACCAGCAGUAACUACUGGAACUGGAUCCGCCAACGUCCAGGGAAGGGGCUGGAAUGGAUGGGGUACUGGACAGGGAGCACAAGUUACAACCCAGCUUUCCAGGGCCGAAUCUCCAUCACUGCUGACACAUCCAGGAACCAGUUCUCCCUGAAACUGAGCUCCGUGACCACAGAGGAUACAGCUGUGUAUUACUGUGCAAGUGACACAGUGAAGAAAAGUCAGGAGUCUCCAACAGGACACCAACAGGAAAGACAACUCAGCAGCAAAUGGAAGCUCCCAGGGCUCACCUGCCACCAGAGAGCAGAGCAUUCACCAGUACUGACAAAGAAGAAAGGCCUAGUGAUGGGGGUGGUAAUUGUCCCACCACCAUGCACACAGCAUGAAGGAGCUGCCUGCUUCCAUAGACUGCAGCUUCUGGAGGGUCCAAGAGUCCUGAGUUAGACGUCCUGCACUGGA